rnacentral:rRNA from 1 species
GACGAACGCUGGCGGCGUGCUUAACACAUGCAAGUCGAACGAGAGGAGAAGGAAGCUUGCUUCUUUCAAAUCUAGUGGCAAACGGGUGAGUAACACGUAAACAACCUGCCUUCAGGAUGGGGACAACAGACGGAAACGACUGCUAAUACCGAAUACGUUCCUUAGGUCGCAUGACUUUAGGAAGAAAGGGUGGCCUCUACUUGUAAGCUAUCGCCUGAAGAGGGGUUUGCGUCUGAUUAGGUAGUUGGUGAGGUAACGGCCCACCAAGCCGACGAUCAGUAGCCGGUCUGAGAGGAUGAACGGCCACACUGGAACUGAGACACGGUCCAGACUCCUACGGGAGGCAGCAGUGGGGAAUCUUCCGCAAUGGACGAAAGUCUGACGGAGCAACGCCGCGUGAACGAUGACGGCCUCGG